rnacentral:rRNA from 1 species
AGUUCGGAUUGGAGGCUGAAAUUACGCCUCCCAUGAAGCCGGAAUUGCUAGUAAUGGCAGGUCAGCAUACUGCCGUGAAUACGUUCCCGGGCCUUGUACACACCGCCCGUCACACCAUGAGAGUUGGGAAUACCCGAAGCCUGUGAGCUAACUUUAAGAGGCAGCAGUCGAAGGUAGAAUCAAUGAUUGGGGUGAAGUCGUAACAAGGUACC